CCUACGGGAGGCAGCAGUGGGGAAUAUUGGACAAUGGGGGGAACCCUGAUCCACCCAUGCCGCGUGUGUGAAGAAGGCCCUCGGGUUGUAAAGCACUUUCAGUGAGGAAGAACGCCUGGUGGUUAAUACCCAUCAGGAAAGACAUCACUCACAGAAGAAGCACCGGCUAACUCCGUGCCAGCAGCCGCGGUAAUACGGAGGGUGCGAGCGUUAAUCGGAAUUACUGGGCGUAAAGCGCGCGUAGGUGGCUUGAUAAGCCGGUUGUGAAAGCCCCGGGCUCAACCUGGGAACGGCAUCCGGAACUGUCAAGCUAGAGUGCAGGAGAGGAAGGUAGAAUUCCCGGUGUAGCGGUGAAAUGCGUAGAGAUCGGGAGGAAUACCAGUGGCGAAGGCGGCCUUCUGGACUGACACUGACACUGAGGUGCGAAAGCGUGGGUAGCAAACAGGAUUAGAUACCCCUGUAGUC
rnacentral:rRNA from 1 species